GAUGAACGCUGACAGAAUGCUUAACACAUGCAAGUCUUUGGCGAAUCUGUGCUUGCACAGGCUAGCCAAGGCGGACGGGUGAGUAACGCGUAAAGAACUUGCCCUGCAGACAGGGAUAACAGACGGAAACGACUGAUAACACCUGAUACAGUUGCCGGCACGCAUGUGCCUGGCAAUGAAAAGAGAUGCUGCAGGAGAGCUUUGCGUCCUAUUAGCUUGUUGGUGAGGUGACGGCUCACCAAGGCGAUGAUAGGUAGCCGGCCUGAGAGGGUGAACGGCCACAAGGGGACUGAGAUACGGCCCUUACUCCUACGGGAGGCAGCAGUGGGGAAUAUUGGACCAUGGGGGCAACCCUGAUCCAGCAAUUCUGUGUGCACGAAGAAGGUUUUCGGAUUGUAAAGUGCUUUCAGAAGGGAAGAAGAAAGUGACGGUACCUGCAGAAGAAGCGACGGCUAAAUACGUG
rnacentral:rRNA from 1 species